AAGUUUUGCAGGUCCAUGUAACAGGUUAAAGUGUGAUCGGGUCUCGGAAAAGGACACCGGGAACCGUUGAACCUGGUGAGACCGUACCCUUUCCUGCGGGAAUCGCUCCGGGAAACUGGAAUUAAUACCGAAUACGCCCUACGGGGGAAAGAAUUUUCGGCGAAGGAUUGGCCCGCGUUGGAUUGUCUAGGUGGUGGAGUAAAUGCCUACCAAUGCGACAAUCCUUAGCUGGUCUGACAGGAUGAUCAACCACAUUGGGACUGAGACACGUCCCAAGCUCCUACGGGAGGCAUCCGAGGGGAAUAUUGCGCAAUGGGCGCGAGCCUGAUCCAGCCAUGACGCAUGAGUGAUGAAGGCCUUACGGUUGUAAAGCUCUUUCACCGAUGAAGAUAAUGACGGUAGUCGGAAAAGAAGCCCCGGUUAACUUCGUGCCAGCAUCCGCGGUAAUAGGAACGGGGCUAUCGUUGUUCGGAAUUACUGGGCGUAAAGCGCACGUAGGCGGAUAUAUCAGUCAGGGGUGAAAUCCCGCAGCUCAACUGCGGAACUGCCUUUGAUACUGGGUAUCUUGAGUAUGGAAGAGGUAAGUGGAAUUGCGAGUGUAGAGGUGAUAUUCGUAGAUAUUCGGACGAACGCCAGUGGCGAAGGCGGCUUACUGGUCCAUUACUGACACUUAGGUGCGAAAGCGUGGGGAGCAAGCAGGAUUAGAUACCAUGGUAGUCCACGCCGUAAGUGAUGAAUGUUAUCCGUCGGGCAGAAUUCUGUUCGGUGGCGCAGCUCUCUCAUUAAACAUUCCGCCUGCGGAGUACGGUCGCAAGAUUAAAACUCAAAGGAAUUGACGGGCGCCCGCACAAGCGGUGGAGCAUGUGGUAUAAUUCGAAGCAUCGCGCAGAACCUUACCAGCUCUUGACAUUCGGGGUAUGAGCAUUGGAGACGAUGUCAUUCAGUUAGGCUGUCCCCAGAACUGGUGCUGCAUGGGCGUGGUCAUCGCUCGUGUCGAGAGAUGACGGGGUAAGUCCUGCAUCGAGCGCAACCCUCGCCCUUAGUUGUCAGCAUUUAGCCGGGACCUCUAAGGGGACUGCCGGUGAUAAGCCGAGAAGAAGGUGGGGAUGACGUCAAGUCCUCAUGGCCCUUACGGGCUGGGCUACGCACGAGACACAAUGGUGGCUGACACCGGGCAGCGAGCAAGUGACGUCUAGAUGAUCUCCAAUACCCAUAUCAGUUUCGAAUUCAGUAUGCAAGUCGAGAGCUUGAAGCUGGGAUCGUGGGUAAUCGCGGAUCAGCAUGCUCCCGGUGAAUCUGUAGACGGGGCUUGUGGUCGUGGCCCGGGACACCGGGCC
rnacentral:rRNA from 1 species